rnacentral:tRNA from 2 species
GCAAGCGUAGCUUAAAUCAAAAGCUUAAUACUGAAGAUGUUAGGAUGGGCUCUAGAAUGCCCCGCGAGCA